rnacentral:misc_RNA from 1 species
GCUGGUGCUGCUGUUCCUCCUGUUGUUGCUGUGUCAUACUAGCACCAGUUGCCACUGCCACAGCACUUGAAGGAGACCCCUUUGCCUCCACAAAUCUCCAAAGAUACCAAGACGCCACUGACCUGUAUGGCCUCCAUUUGUCGCACAAUUGAUCCAUCUGCGAAGGACGGGGCAACUCUUCCAAAUUGUACAGCAACUGCACCCCUUUGCGCACCCCAAGAUC